AUUGAACGCUGGCGGCAGGCCUAACACAUGCCAGUCGAGCGGAUGAAGGGAGCUUGCUCCUGGAUUCAGCGGCGGACGGGUGAGUAAUGCCUAGGAAUCUGCCUGGUAGUGGGGGAUAACGUCCGGAAACGGGCGCUAAUACCGCAUACGUCCUGAGGGAGAAAGUGGGGGAUCUUCGGACCUCACGCUAUCAGAUGAGCCUAGGUCGGAUUAGCUAGUUGGUGGGGUAAAGGCCUACCAAGGCGACGAUCCGUAACUGGUCUGAGAGGAUGAUCAGUCACACUGGAACUGGGACACGGUCCAGACUCCUACGGGAGGCAGCAGUGGGGAAUAUUGGACAAUGGGCGAAAGCCUGAUCCAGCCAUGCCGCGGGUGUGAAGAAGGUCUUCGGAUUGUAAAGCACUUUAAGUUGGGAGGAAGGGCAGUAAGUUAAUACCUUGCUGUUUUGACGUUACCAACAGAAUAAGCACCGGCUAACUUCGU
rnacentral:rRNA from 1 species